ncrna:unclassified sequences c-di-GMP-I-GGC riboswitch
UGCGACAAAGGCAACCCCGUCGCAAGAUGGGUGAGCGCAAAGCCACGGGCCUCUAAGAGGCAGCCGGGAUACCGAAC